UACGUAGGGUGCGAGCGUUGUCCGGAAUUAUUGGGCGUAAAGAGCUCGUAGGCGGUCUGUCGCGUCGGUCGUGAAAACUUGGGGGCUUAACCCUGAGCUUGCGGUCGAUACGGGCAUGACUGGAGUUCGGCAGGGGAGACUGGAAUUCCUGGUGUAGCGGUGAAAUGCGCAGAUAUCAGGAGGAACACCGGUGGCGAAGGCGGGUCUCUGGACAGUUCCUGACGUGAGGCACGAAGGCCAGGGGAGCAAACGGG
rnacentral:rRNA from 1 species